CACGUAGGGGGCAAGCGUUGUCCGGAUUUAUUGGGCGUAAAGAGCUCGUAGGCGGUUCAGUAAGUCAGGUGUGAAACCUCCAGGCUCAACCUGGAGACGCCACCUGAUACUGCUGUGACUGGAGUCCGGUAGGGGAGCGUGGAAUUCCUGGUGUAGCGGUGAAAUGCGCAGAUAUCAGGAGGAACACCAGCGGCGAAGGCGGCGCUCUGGGCCGGUACUGACGCUGAGGAGCGAAAGCGUGGGUAGCAAACAGG
rnacentral:rRNA from 1 species